GACCUCAUAGGGUUGUGCUGCAGA
rnacentral:piRNA from 1 species